UACGAAGGGGGCUAGCGUUGUUCGGAAUUACUGGGCGUAAAGCGCACGUAGGCGGACGUGUAAGUCAGGGGUGAAAUCCCGGGGCUCAACCCCGGAACUGCCUUUGAUACUGCACAUCUUGAGUCCGGAAGAGGUGAGUGGAAUUCCUAGUGUAGAGGUGAAAUUCGUAGAUAUUAGGAGGAACACCAGUGGCGAAGGCGGCUCACUGGUCCGGUACUGACGCUGAGGUGCGAAAGCGUGGGGAGCAAACAGG
rnacentral:rRNA from 1 species